rnacentral:rRNA from 1 species
AACGGAAAGGCCCUGCUUUUGUGGGGUGCUCGAGUGGCGAACGGGUGAGUAACACGUGAGUAACCUGCCCUUGACUUUGGGAUAACUUCAGGAAACUGGGGCUAAUACCGGAUAGGAGCUCCUGCUGCAUGGUGGGGGUUGGAAAGUUUCGGCGGUUGGGGAUGGACUCGCGGCUUAUCAGCUUGUUGGUGGGGUAGUGGCUUACCAAGGCUUUGACGGGUAGCCGGCCUGAGAGGGUGACCGGCCACAUUGGGACUGAGAUACGGCCCAGACUCCUACGGGAGGCAGCAGUGGGGAAUAUUGCACAAUGGGCGGAAGCCUGAUGCAGCAACGCCGCGUGCGGGAUGACGGCCUUCGGGUUGUAAACCGCCUUCGCCUGUGACGAAGCGUGAGUGACGGUAAUGGGUAAAGAAGCACCGGCUAACUACGUGCCAGCAGCCGCGGUGAUACGUAGGGUGCGAGCGUUGUUCGGAUUUAUUGGGCGUAAAGGGCUCGUAGGUGGUUGAUCGCGUCGGAAGUGUAAUCUUGGGGCUUAACCCUGAGCGUGCUUUCGAUACGGGUUGACUUGAGGAAGGUAGGGGAGAAUGGAAUUCCUGGUGGAGCGGUGGAAUGCGCAGAUAUCAGGAGGAACACCAGCGGCGAAGGCGGUUCUCUGGGCCUUUCCUGACGCUGAGGAGCGAAAGCGUGGGGAGCGAACAGGCUUAGAUACCCUGGU